UGGCAUUCCGCUUUAUUUUAUUUUUAUUUUACGUCCACGUCCAAGGACACGUGAGCGCUAUGCUGGCAAAGAAGAAACAAUGGUGGUCAGGAGAAACUGUUCGAGUAGACCAACCGCCGGACCACCUGCACGCCUGCCGACUUGCUCGUCUGUGC